rnacentral:rRNA from 1 species
CCAGACUCCUACGGGAGGCAGCAGUGAGGAAUAUUGGUCAAUGGGCGGGAGCCUGAACCAGCCAAGUCGCGUGAGGGAUGACGGCCCUAUGGGUUGUAAACCUCUUUUGCCGGGGAGCAAAGUGCCGCACGUGUGCGGUUUGGAGAGUACCCGGAGAAAAAGCAUCGGCUAACUACGUGCCAGCAGCCGCGGUAAUACGUAGGGGGCAAGCGUUAUCCGGAUUUACUGGGUGUAAAGGGAGCGUAGGCGGUUUAGCAAGUCAGAAGUGAAAGCCCGGGGCUCAACUCCGGGACUGCUUUUGAAACUGUUGAACUAGAUUGCAGGAGAGGUAAGUGGAAUUCCUAGUGUAGCGGUGAAAUGCGUAGAUAUUAGGAGGAACACCAGUGGCGAAGGCGGCUUACUGGACUGUAAAUGACGCUGAGGCUCGAAAGCGUGGGGAGCAAACAGGAUUAGAUACCCGGGUACAG